UGUCGUCACAGCCUGCUCUGUCUUCCAGGAAUCCUGAUUAGGGGCAAGAGCACUACACCUUUAAGGCCCUGGAAGUUUCUGGAAGCUUCCCUGCCCUACAUCAGGCCCCUGGCAAAAGCUUGGCUUACUUUGCGGGAGGAAGGAGACAGAGCUUGGCCGUCUGCGGCCUGUUUAUCAGGUUCAUCGCGUGGGGCUCGCAUCUUAAGGGCCUUGUUUGAAGAGACUGAGCUCCCUCCACCCACUGCCCAAUGGACAAUAGUAAGCAGCUGUGAAUCCUGCAUGAAACUUAGGACAAGCUCUCUAGAGCUAGCUGUGUCAUCAGGCCCGGGGCUGGUGCCCCUCCCCUGCACCGCCCCCCUUCCAGGACAGAUGUUGGAAACUUCUCCAACUGCCAAGGAGGUCAGAGCAGUGACGGACAACUGAGUAGAAGAUGGUGGAGUGACUCGGUGGUGGACGGGAAGGAGCUGCUGACCAGGGAGGAGAGAUCGACUGCUCACUGGACAUUGGGCCCGGCUGGACUACUAGGCCUGCGUCUCCCCAUGGAUGAGGACUGGACAAUACUGGACAAUUACCUUGCUUUGCCCAGGGCUCCAUCCCAGCCCCAUGCCUGCCCUUUGACCGCUUCUCUUUCUCCCCCGUUCCCACCUCCCCGGACAAUGCUGUUUGCUUUGGGGUCCAAUUUUCUGUAGGGUUCAAGGCACUGGCUUUGGCAGCUCCUCGAGGAGGUGAUGGUGUGUACGUGCACAACCCCUGUGGCUGAUGAGGAAAUGUGUGAGGAAAGGAGGCAGGGGGGCCUGCCCCUCGCUCAGCAGGGAGUCUGGUCUGGAACCAGGGGGUAGAGCUCUGCCUGUUUUCAGACCCGACUGUGGGGCUGGGUGAGGCCUGGGGCCCUCAAUUCUAUAGACAGGCCGAACCCUCCCCGUGGCCCGGUCUGCAGAGCCCUCUGCCUAUCACUGACAACCAGUCACUGCUGGGCUUGGGGGGGCCCUGGGGAAUGGGGAUCCAGGAUCAGGUCAGUGUGUGAUGUGUCACCGUGUGUUUGUGGGGGAUGAGGUAAUCCCGCCCGGAGGAGCAACGGGGUGGGAGGGGACCAGACUAGGCUCAAUGUGCAGACUGGGGGGGAAAGUGAAAAAUGAACCCCCUUUCAAGAACAGCAUUGUCUGUGGGCCCACCAUGACAGGCCUGUCAAAGAUUCUUUCCCAAAGACCCCAGUCCAUUCUGUUUUGAGAUGUGUAGGCUGCUCUUCUCAUUUCCCUUCCCCUCCCCCCUUUUUGUACCCCCCCCCCAACAUUUUUCCUUCCCUGGGCUGAUGUUUUAGAGCCCAGUUUUAUGUGACAGUUAAUGGUGGGUUUGGAAUAAAAUCUGUUUUUCUCCCCUGCCCCAUAACACUUAAAUACACAUCUGUAAUUUAUAUUCUCUGUCUUUCCCUCAGCUCCACCCCAACCUGUAAACUCAAUGGAGGCAGGAAAUGUGUUUGGUGCCCAUUGUACUGUCCUCUCCCAAGUGUUUA